CUUUAAUAUUGAAUAUUGUGAUCUUUACUUGUAAACAUGGGCAUUGCGUAAGUGUGCGUGCGUGUUGGACCAAUCAGUCGCGAGCCAGCGCUCGCAAACGCACACGUUUAGUGUACCUUACUUAUACCGAUACGACUUGAACACAAGCAUAAGCUACUCGCCUUCGUGAAUUGCAAGAACUG